UUUUGGCACUUUUAAUCCGGUGUAGUGGCUCAUGAAUUUAUUUUAUCUGUCAACCUCGCCCAUCAAAUUCGGUGGGCGGGGCUAACGCGAAUCUUGUCUUAUCCCCUGCUUUGGUCUGCCGUGAAACCGAAAGUAGAAACAUGGCGGCUGUGUUGAUGGAGGAUCUCCGUGAACUUUCUACAGAGUUGGUGAGAGAUGUCUUAGACCUUGCAGAGUACGUGGAAGCAGGACCUGCUGACCCCGAGCAUGUAGCGUGUAAAGCAGAGGAACUUAUUGAAGUUGUUGGAGUUAUUUCCGCACUUUCUGACCAAGAUGUUGACCGUAGAGUGACUGCAAAUUUAGAAGAAGUACUUCGCCGCUUUUCUGGUACCAGGGUGCAACAGGAGCACACACAGGGACCAGGGCGUUUGGCAUUUGACAUACCGAGGGCCGCUCUGGAACAUCACGUUCAUUGUGGAUUACCAGCCUGUCAAAUUGCAGCGAUGCUCGGAGUGUCAAAGAGAACCAUCAGGAGGCGCAUGCAACAAUACGGUUUAAGGUUUUUACAUUAAAUUCAUGAGUUUUCAGUUUAUGAAUUGCCAGUCUCAUCCACUCCGAAACGAUAUUACAUUUAGUGAAUCACUCGAUGUUAAUGUUUUUUGUUUGUACAGAAAGACAGACCUGUAUUCAGCUGUGAAUGAUGAGGAGUUGGACCGUAUUGUCAGUGAAGUCCACAGAAGACAUCCAAACACCGGCUACAAGCUACAUGCGUGUUCCAAUCUCAAGACUGCAAGAGUCUUUACGCAGAGUUGAUGCAGAGGGAGUCUACAUGAGGCGUCUAAGACUGCGUGUAUUAAGAUGACGGCAGUAUUCUGUUCCUGGCCCAAACUGUUUAUGGCAUAUAGAUGGCAAUCAUAAGCUCAUCAGAUGGAGAUUUGUUGUCCAUGGUGGGGUGGAUGGAUUCAGUCGUUUAGUCGUCUACCUGACUGUGGCUGGCAAUAACAGAGCUAGUACGGUCUUACAGAGCUUUAUCGCUGCUGUUGAGCAGUACGGGCUGCCAUCAAGGGUACGGUCUGAUAAAGGGGGCGAGAAUGCAGAUGUAGCAGAAUUCAUGAUCGGGAGCAGAGGUACAGACAGGAAUUCGCACAUCACAGGCAGAAGUGUCCACAAUCAACGAAUAGAAAGGAUGUGGAGAGAUGUGUAUGAACAUGCCCUGGACCUCUUCUAUCAGAUCUUCACUUCAUUGGAAGAUCAGGGAACACUGAAUCCAGACAAUGAAGUCCAUCUUUUUGCACUGCACUGGAGCUUCCUUCCACUAAUCCAGCAAAGCCUCGACUCUUUCAGGGAUGCUUGGAACUUUCAUGGUCUUAGACCUGAAAGGAAUCAGUCACCACAGCAACUCUGGAGAAGAUACAGAGAGCAAGGCCCUGUGGAGGAUCCUACUGAGGUUUAUGAAGACUAUGGGAUCGACUGGAACGGACCUCAGUCUUCAUGGAGGCAGUGUCAGUCCCCGAGGUUCAGCUGGCCCGUGAGCUCUCGCUGGAAGAGGUGGCCAUUUUGCCAGCUCCAGGAGCUUCUGUAACUGAUGCACUUAGAUCAUAUGUAGAGACUGUGCAAGUUUUAUCAAGAAUCAUAGCAGACUGAUGUCCAACCUAUGCUUUUAUUUAGCAUCUUACAACAAGCAAGCAUAAACUGAAAAAGUUUGCUUUCCUUAAAAAAAGGGGUAUAAAAAGCUGUUUUACUUUGAAGCUCUACCAUAAUCAUUGUUAAGAUCUUGUAAAUGCACUUUAUGCAUAGCUCCACUCCUUUUCUUCCUGUCUCAUUAUUGGCCACAGAAUGAAUAACAUGAAUGCUGUUCUGUUAACACUGAAAGCUGAACGUGCAGAACUGUUUGGUUUUAGUAAGUGGAAAAAAUAUUAUGAAUUUAUCAACUACUGCACAGUAUGUUUCAUGUUUUCAAUUGACCUGACCUACUGAACAGUGCAUUCAAUGACAUCUGUCUGAAAACUUCAACAAGUCCUAAUCCAGUCUGUGCACUACUUAUGGCAGAGACAAGUGCUUCCUUGAAGUCCAUGUAGGCUUUGAAAUGAGCUGGCAGCUUUAGUGUUUCAAAGCAUGUGGCGGACGUAGGAAGGGUUCCCCCAGAGAUCACUUUCAGUUCAGGAGGAAUCUUCUCCCAGCCAACCCAGAAUGUCAGCAGCUGGGCCAAUGUACCUGAUGAAGCUAAAAGUCAUAAAAUGGAUUCAAGACAACAUUUAGUUAAACUUUAAUUGAUCAUAUCUAUCCAUGAGACAUGGAAGCAUUUGUAAAGAGAGCAAUACAUUUUUCAAAUAAGGUGUUAAUACCCGUUUCAAUGAACAUCCUUAGAAAGCCAGUGAAGCGGCACGUGGACUCAAUGUCAAAGUUUUCAUCAUCACUGUCCUCAGCUGGCCAUGUGAUUUUUUUCUAGGAGCAUCUUUAAAAACACAUUGUAAUUAUUUUAAAGUGAGAACUUUUUUGGUGAAGGAAUAUGCAGAUCACAUUCUUGGUAAAUGGAAAAAUAACCAGCUUAGUCAUUGAAAACACAUGUAAAUUCAUUAAGUAAAGUUACAAAUGUAACUAAAUUGACAUACCUGGGGUGUGAACUGCAUUUCAGCCAUUUUAGGGAAAAGAAGUGAGACAACAUCUGGCCUAGAUGUCAGCAGGGGCCAUACCAUCACAUCUUUCAGUCCCUUUCUCAGCUGUUUAAUUUGGCGCAUGGUCCUCCCAAUGACCUAGGAGACAGGCCCGGCCCAUAUUACAGACAAAAUCCUCAACCCAACUUUUACAAAAGUUGGCACAGUAGGUUCAUAAAAGCAUAAUGAAGUGUUUUAUAAAAUCCAUUCAAACUAGUACAGAAUAUGUCAAUCCUUAAUAAAGGUAUUAACACAUUUUCGAAUAAUGUAUUCCAUUUUAUACAUUUGUGCAACUGAUGUCUUUAGUGCUCAAAUGCCGUGGUGAACACUUGACUGU